UCUAUCGAGCAUGAGAAAAGGAAAAAGAUAAUUUGCUCGAUUUAUUUGGUGAAUGCCAAUAAGCAAACCAAUGCUAAAUCAAGUUUAAGAUAAAGAAAAAGUAAUUAAUUGGAAUCAAAAAUGAGACGAAAUAACCUGAAGAUUGGUUGCUUUAGAGGUUAACCAGGAUCAGUGAGCUUCAAGGUACUUGCAUAAUGGGUUGAACAUGAUGAUGAAAGGAAGGCUUUUCAUUGAGAAUGACAUUGAGGCCAGACUGGCAAAUCCGGAAAGUAAGAUCAUGAUGAUGGUUAUUAUGAUGGUUAUGAUGGAGAAGAUAAAUAAUCAGAAGAAGAAGGAGUAAGUAACUUUUUUUGUUUCUGUCUUUUAAUCCUUACAUGAUGCUUCCUGGUUGAAUAACUGGAAAAGAACGCCUUUUCUGCUUUCGCUAACUUUCUGAUCAACUUCGAGUUUCAAGAAUUAAUUAAACUUUUAUCAAGACCAAAAGAGAAAGUUAAGGUCAAACAUUCAAUUAUUAUAGUUUAAUAGUAUAAAUAAAAAUUUUAAUUUACGGUUAACAUUGAACAUACGAUCGCAAAAAUGGUUACUUUGAAUCAGCUGUUGCAUCAAAGGGUCAAAGAUGGAGUUCACCGUUUUUCGCUUGUAUCUCAUUUAUGUGGUGUUUUAGUGCUCAUUUUUUUCAAUUCACCAUCAAUUAAUUGUUUCAAGCUCGACGCUUGGAUGGUGUAAUCAACCAACAAGAACAAAAUUGGAGCAGUUAGUGUGCUGAUUGUUUUAAAAGAUCGUCAAUGGAUUUAUAAUUACUAGCCCCCAAGAGUCAAGAGACAAGUGGAUUAUGAGCGAGAACCAGAAGAAUCACUUUUCAAUAUGAUAAUUGAAUAGGACCAGAUGAUGUGGAAAGACCUGCCAUUUACUAUCAAUUUGAGGUCAUCUACCGAUCUAUGGACAAUAACUUCUCGCUUUGGUUUGCUGGUUUUGUUAAUUUGGUUCAUCGUCACCUGUUUAUUGCUGAUGUUUGUUUACUAAUUUCAAAGAAUGACAGUGUUCAGAGCAAACACAAUUCUUGGCCAAUUAUUAACUUCAAAUAUGCCCUGAAAUAUAAGAAAAUAUGAGGUCAUUCAAGAUCACAUCAUGUUAUAUUAAUAGUGCAAAUUUAAAGAUCAUAAUUGGCCAAAGAAUAGUAUUUGUAACUGUUGUGAUUCUUGGUAUAUUGAGAUGCAAAGCCUUGAGGUCGUUAACUAAGAGAGCUGUUCAAUCAAAAAUUGUUAAUGUGCAUCAAUCAUCGCUGUAGGACAAAAACGAGGUUCUUUAGCUGUUACCAGUACUCGAAACUAAAGCUUUAUCGGAAAAUCAAAUUUUGUACGGCAACUGUUAAUUUUAUUUCCCAAAGUAAUUUCAUUUGACUUUCAUUGGAAGUUGCAUAAAAAUUAAUUUUUAUUUUGA